rnacentral:tRNA from 1 species
AUCGAGUUUGGGCCACAAGGCGGUCCCUCCCCCUAUCAGGGGGAGGUUAGGAGGGGGUAUCCCCUACCCUACGCGAUCC